GCGCCCGUAGCUCAAUUGGACAGAGCGUCUGACUUCGAAUCAGCAGGUUGCAGGUUCGAGUCCUGCCGGGCGUACCG
rnacentral:tRNA from 1 species